AGUAUCGAAGAAAAUUAAAAGAGGCUUUCCGGGUUCUCCCAUUUUACUGAUUGCUAUUCCAAACACAAUUCCAAAGAAUACUAAACCUAAGGCCUUAUUAUUAUAGUGCGAUACUAUAACAAAAUACCAGAAAUUAGAGUACACCUUAAACAUAUACAUUAAUUAUAUCAAACAUAAAGCAAGAUCGCUUAUAGAUACCUGAGCAAUGCAAGCUUGUACAAGAUUUGGUGGAAAUACAUUUCUAAAAAAAUAAAAAUUGCUUAUAGUAAAAUGUAA